AAUAAAACUUGACUUGAUGACAAAAGACUUUCCACAUUUGUUACAUUCAUAAGGUUUCUCACCUGUGUGAAUUCUCUUAUGCCUACUGAGGUGUGAACUUC